rnacentral:rRNA from 1 species
UACGUAGGGUGCAAGCGUUUGUCCGGAAUUAUUGGGCGUAAAGAGCUCGUAGGCGGCUUGUCGCGUCCGCUGUGAAAACUCGGGGCUUAACCCCGAGCCUGCAGUGGAUACGGGCAGACUAGAGGUAGGUAGGGGGAGAAUGGAAUUCCUGGUGUAGCGGUGAAAUGCGCAGAUAUCAGGAGGAACACCGGUGGCGAAGGCGGUUCUCUGGGCCUUACCUGACACUGAGGAGCGAAAGCGUGGGGAGCAAACAGG